rnacentral:rRNA from 1 species
GACGAACGCUGGCGGCGUGCUUAACACAUGCAAGUCGAACGGAAGGGCCCUGCUUUUGUGGGGUGCUCGAGUGGCGAACGGGUGAGUAACACGUGAGUAACCUGCCCUUGACUUUGGGAUAACUUCAGGAAACUGGGGCUAAUACCGGAUAGGAGCUCCUGCUGCAUGGUGGGGGUUGGAAAGUUUCGGCGGUUGGGGAUGGACUCGCGGCUUAUCAGCUUGUUGGUGGGGUAGUGGCUUACCAAGGCUUUGACGGGUAGCCGGCCUGAGAGGGUGGCCGGCCACAUUGGGACUGCGAGACGGCCCAGACUCCUACGGGGGACAGCAGUGGGGAAUAUUGCACAAUGAGCGGAAGCCUGAUGCAGCAACGCCGCGUGCGGGAUGACGGCCUUCGGGUUAUAAACCGCUUUCGCCUGUGACGAAGCGUGAGUGACGGUAAUGGGUAAAGAAGCACCGGCUAACUACGUG